GACGAACGCUGGCGGCGUGCUUAACACAUGCAAGUCGUACGGUAAGGCCCUUUCGGGGGUACACGAGUGGCGAACGGGUGAGUAACACGUGAGUAACCUGCCCACAACUUUGGGAUAACGCUAGGAAACUGGUGCUAAUACUGGAUAUGUGCUCCUGCUGCAUGGUGGGGGUUGGAAAGCUCCGGCGGUUGUGGAUGGACUCGCGGCCUAUCAGCUUGUUGGUGGGGUAGUGGCCUACCAAGGCGGCGACGGGUAGCCGGCCUGAGAGGGUGACCGGCCACAUUGGGACUGAGAUACGGCCCAGACUCCUACGGGAGGAAGCAGUGGGAAUAUUGCACAAUGGGCGCAAGCCUGAUGCAGCAACGCCGCGUGCGGGAUGACGGCCUUCGGGUUGUAAACCGCUUUCAGCAGGGACGAAGCUUUUUGUGACGGUACCUGCAGAAGAAGCACCGGCUAACUACGUG
rnacentral:rRNA from 1 species